GAUGAACGCUGGCGGCGUGCCUAAUACAUGCAAGUCGAGCGAAUGGAUUAAGAGCUUGCUCUUAUGAAGUUAGCGGCGGACGGGUGAGUAACACGUGGGUAACCUGCCCAUAAGACUGGGAUAACUCCGGGAAACCGGGGCUAAUACCGGAUAACAUUUUGAACCGCAUGGUUCGAAAUUGAAAGGCGGCUUCGGCUGUCACUUAUGGAUGGACCCGCGUCGCAUUAGCUAGUUAGUGAGGUAACGGCUCACCAAGGCAACGAUGCGUAGCCGCCCUGAGAGGGGGAUCGGCCACACUGGGACUGAGACACGGCCCAGACUCCUACGGGAGGCAGCAGUAGGGAACCUUCCGCAAUGGACGAAAGUCUGACGGAGCAACGCCGCGUGAGUGAGGAAGGCUUUCGGGUCGUAAAACUCUGUUGUUAAGGAAGAACAAGUGCUAGUUGAAUAAGCUGGCACCUUGACGGUACCUAACCAGAAAGCCACGGCUAACUACGUGCCAGCCGCCGCGGUAA
rnacentral:rRNA from 1 species